ensembl:misc_RNA Metazoa_SRP Metazoan signal recognition particle RNA
GCCGGGUGUGGUGGUGCAUGCCUGUAAUCCCAGCUACUCAGGAGGCUGAGGCAUGAGAAUCGCUUGAACCCAGGAGGCGGAGGUUGCAGUGAGCCGAGAUCACGCCACUGCACUCCAGCCUGGGUGACAGAGUGAGACUCUGUCUCAA